rnacentral:rRNA from 1 species
AUUGAACGCUGGCGGCAGGCCUAACACAUGCAAGUCGAACGGUAACAGGAAGACGCUUGCUUCUUUGCUGACGAGUGGCGGACGGGUGAGUAAUGUCUGGGAAACUGCCUGAUGGAGGGGGAUAACUACUGGAAACGGUAGCUAAUACCGCAUAACGUCGCAAGACCAAAGAGGGGGACCUUCGGGCCUCUUGCCAUCGGAUGUGCCCAGAUGGGAUUAGCUAGUAGGUGGGGUAACGACUCACCUAGGCGACGAUCCCUAGCUGGUCUGAGAGGAUGACCAGCCACACUGGAACUGAAACACGGUCCAGACUCCUACGGGAGGCAGCAGUGGGGAAUAUUGCACAAUGGGCGCAAGCCUGAUGCAGCCAUGCCGCGUGUAUGAAGAAGGCCUUCGGGUUGUAAAGUACUUUCAGCGGGGAGGAAGGGAGUAAAGUUAAUACCUUGGCUCAUUGACGUUACCCGCAGAAGAAGCACCGGCUAACUCCGUG